rnacentral:rRNA from 1 species
UACGUAGGUGGCAAGCGUUGUCCGGAAUUAUUGGGCGUAAAGCGCGCGCAGGCGGUCCUUUAAGUCUGAUGUGAAAGCCCACGGCUCAACCGUGGAGGGUCAUUGGAAACUGGGGGACUUGAGUGCAGGAGAGAAAAGUGGAAUUCCACGUGUAGCGGUGAAAUGCGUAGAGAUGUGGAGGAACACCAGUGGCGAAGGCGACUUUUUGGCCUGUAACUGACGCUGAGGCGCGAAAGCGUGGGGAACAAACAGG